rnacentral:rRNA from 1 species
AUUGAACGCUGGCGGCAUGCCUUACACAUGCAAGUCGAACGGCAGCACGGGAGCAAUCCUGGUGGCGAGUGGCGAACGGGUGAGUAAAGUAUCGGAACGUGCCCAGUCGUGGGGGAUAACGUAGCGAAAGUUACGCUAAUACCGCAUACGAUCUAUGGAUGAAAGCGGGGGAUCGCAAGACCUCGCGCGAUUGGAGCGGGCGAUAUCAGAUUAGGUAGUUGGUGGGGUAAAGGCUCACCAAGCCGACGAUCUGUAGCUGGUCUGAGAGGACGACCAGCCACACUGGGACUGAGACACGGCCCAGACUCCUACGGGAAGCAGCAGUGGGGAAUUUUGGACAAUGGGCGAAAGCCUGAUCCAGCCAUGCCGCGUGCAGGAUGAAGGCCUUCGGGUUGUAAACUGCUUUUGUACGGAACGAAAAGGUUUGGCCUAAUAAGCUGAGCUCAUGACGGUACCGUAAGAAUAAGCACCGGCUAACUACGUGCCAGCAGCCGCCGUAA